UACGGGGGGAGCAAGCGUUGUUCGGAUUUACUGGGCGUAAAGGGCGCGUAGGCGGCCAGCACAAGUCAGUUGUGAAAUCUCCGGGCUUAACUCGGAAAGGUCAAACUGAUACUGUGCGGCUAGAGUGCAGAAGGGGCAACUGGAAUUCUCGGUGUAGCGGUGAAAUGCGUAGAUAUCGAGAGGAACACCUGCGGCGAAGGCGGGUUGCUGGGCUGACACUGACGCUGAUGCGCGAAAGCCAGGGGAGCGAACGGG
rnacentral:rRNA from 1 species